GAUGAACGCUAGCGAUAGGCUUAACACAUGCAAGUCGAGGGGCAGCACAAGGUAGCUUGCUAUCUGGGUGGCGACCGGCGCACGUGUGCGUCACGCGUAUGCAACUUGCCCUAUACAGGAGGAUAACCCGUCGAAAGACGGACUAAUACUGCGUAUGCUCACAACUUGGCAUCAAGUGGUGAGGAAAGGAAUUCGGUAUAGGAUAGGCAUGCGUCCCAUUAGCUUGUUGGUGAGGUAACGGCUCACCAAGGCAACGAUGGGUAGGGGAACUGAGAGGUUUAUCCCCCACAAUGGUACUGAGACACGGACCAGACUCCUACGGGAGGCAGCAGUGAGGAAUAUUGGUCAAUGGGAGCGAGCCUGAACCAGCCAAGUCGCGUGAAGGAUGACUGUCUUAUGGAUUGUAAACUUCUUUUAUACGGGAAUAACAAGAGUCACGUGUGACUGCCUGCAUGGACCGUAUGAAUAAGCAUCGGCUAACUCCGUG
rnacentral:rRNA from 1 species